rnacentral:tRNA from 1 species
ACUAUUUUGGCAGAUUAGUGCAAUAAAUUUAGAAUUUAUGUAUAUAGGUUUUCUAUAAAUAGUA